CAGUCUUUCUGUCUUGAUGUUGCAGGCAGUCUCCAGGCAGUAACGCAGGGGGAUGGACAAGACAUGUCAAUAUUCUCAAAUAAUACAGAUCAACAGGAGAAACUCUGUAGACGGUAACAGCUGGUACUUAGGAACUGAUAUCUGCACUAGCUGCACUACGGAGAGCAUGAAUCCACUUUCAACAACCGGAGAUUAGUCCAUGAUCUGAAAACUUGCUAAAUGUGGACAAUGAGGAGAUUAACUCCAAAGCCAGACAAAAGUAAAUCACAAAGGGACUCAAGGGAGGUGCCCAUCAAAACACUUGGCCCCUCAGCACACUCCAUCUCUGGGUCUGCUCCUAGCCUGUGAAAAUUUAACACCAGUCUUAAAUGAAUCUGUUGCACCAGUACCCAACCCACAGAAAAGAAACUCCAGCUGGAUCACCAGAAGAGAAUGAGGAUCUUUGCUUUAGCUUCUCAAGUACCUACCUUCUACUACUCUUGCUUAAAGAAAAAACAAGACUUAGACAAUCACUGGCUUAAAGUGGCUGGCAUCUUUCUGGUAAGAAAAUAUGCAUGCGGCUCAGCAAGAUGGUGGUUUUCAGCAUAGAAAAUACCAGGAGGUGGAUGAGCCAUGAGCCCUGCAUUGGUUUUAUGCACUAAGCAGAUUAACAAAAUUAUGGCUGUGCCUCAUUGGUCAUAUGCAGCAUAAUAUUUAUCACAUUCCUGGCUGAAGUUUGAAAUGUCUCUAGGUGAGAUUAAAUGAGACUAUCAAGGGCACAUUUUCAAGGCAAGAAAUGCACACUGACAAACUCAUUACCUUUAAUGGAAGCUGCACAAUUCAGGCUGUGUACUUCCUCCCUAAAGUUGUUUUAAAAUUAUUUUUCUCUUUUUUAUCUAGUUUUUAAUGGUAAGGUCCCUACAUGCAUAUGAGAAACUCAUGAUAAAGACUCUCAAGUCAAUUUCCAUGUAUCUGGAUAAUUGUUGGAUGCAUUUUCCAGUUCUACCUUUGAAAAGUUGACUUUUUUUUUACUUACUUUUUCUAAAAGUCUAUCCAGUUAUCAGCUGUACAUGCAGAAAUGUUAUUAGUAACAUUAACAGCUCACUUUGCUAUGUCACAAGCCAUUGUUGCAAUGGGAUAUGUAGUUUAGCACCAUUCAUAUUGUGCUACAUGAUAAAACAUCUAAUUUAAUGUGUUAUGUCUAUUCUGUUUGUAUGCAACCAGUGGGAUACAAAUAUAUUUCCCUGAAGUGA